UUAACUCAAAUUUGUAGGCAGUUGGAACAGCGCCCCUAGCGGCAAACAUAGGCAAGUGUUCCAACUCCAUACAUGUUUUAGUUA
rnacentral:pre_miRNA from 1 species